rnacentral:rRNA from 1 species
AUUGAACGCUGGCGGCAGGCCUAACACAUGCAAGUCGAGCGGAGCGGCGGACGGGUGAGUCAUGCCUAGGAAUCUGCCUGGUAGUGGGGGAUAACGUCCGGAAACGGGCGCUAAUACCGCAUACUAUCAGAUGAGCCUCGGUCGGAUUAGCUAGUGGGUGGGGUAAAGGCCUACCAAGGCGACGAUCCGUAGAUGGUAUGAGAGGAUGAUCAGUCACACUGGAACGAAGAGACGGUCCAGACUCCUACGGGAGGCAGCAGUGGGGAUUGUUGGACAAUGUGCUAAAGCCUGAGCCAGCCAUGCCGCGUGUGUGACGAAGGUCUUCGGAGUUUAAAGCACUUUAAGUUGGGAGGCGUUACCAACAGAAUAAGCACCGGCUAACUUCGUGCCAGCAGCCGCGGUAAUAC